CCUACGGGAGGCAGCAGUGGGGAAUCUUGCGCAAUGGGCGAAAGCCUGACGCAGCCAUGCCGCGUGAAUGAUGAAGGUCUUAGGAUUGUAAAAUUCUUUCACCGGGGACGAUAAUGACGGUACCCGGAGAAGAAGCCCCGGCUAACUUCGUGCCAGCAGCCGCGGUAAUACGAAGGGGGCUAGCGUUGCUCGGAAUUACUGGGCGUAAAGGGAGCGUAGGCGGACAUUUAAGUCAGGGGUGAAAUCCCGGGGCUCAACCUCGGAAUUGCCUUUGAUACUGGGUGUCUUGAGUAUGAGAGAGGUGUGUGGAACUCCGAGUGUAGAGGUGAAAUUCGUAGAUAUUCGGAAGAACACCAGUGGCGAAGGCGACACACUGGCUCAUUACUGACGCUGAGGCUCGAAAGCGUGGGGAGCAAACAGGAUUAGAUACCCUGGUAGUCCACGCCGUAAACGAUGAUUGCUAGUUGUCGGGAUGCAUGCAUUUCGGUGACGCAGCUAACGCAUUAAGCAAUCCGCCUGGGGAGUACGGUCGCAAGAUUAAAACUCAAAGGAAUUGACGG
rnacentral:rRNA from 3 species